UACGAAGGGUGCAAGCGUUACUCGGAAUUACUGGGCGUAAAGCGUGCGUAGGUGGUUUGUUAAGUCUGUUGUGAAAGCCCCGGGCUCAACCUGGGAAUGGCAAUGGAUACUGGCAAGCUAGAGUGCGGUAGAGGGUAGUGGAAUUCCCGGUGUAGCGGUGAAAUGCGUAGAGAUCGGGAGGAACACCAGCGGCGAAGGCGGCGAACUGGAGUAGGCACUGACACUCAACAACGAAAGCGUGGGGAGCAAACAGGG
rnacentral:rRNA from 1 species